UAUGUUAUGCUAUUAUUAUAUAGCCGCUCUUAUGUAAUGUUAAUUUCGGGCCGGGGACAUGUUUCUUUAACUAUCUUUGAGCAAAAAUCUCACCUCAAUAUAUCUGUAUUGUGAUCUCUGCAAGUCUCACAGGGCCCUGUGUUGAUUGCUGAAUUCCAUAUUGAAAUGAAGUCGGAGACGUCGAUAAAUGAUUUGCAGAGGGAUACUUUAAGUGAUAUCUUAUCAAGACUACCUGCAAGAACCCUUUUGAGUUGUCAAUGUGUGUGCAAAAGAUUUAAUCAACUGAUUAGAAACCCCGAUUUCAUUACUAGCCAUCUUAAUCGUGCCACUUCCACGACUGAUGCUGAUAUUUGUUCUAUAUCGGUUCUUAGUUUUGAUGAGGAAGAUAGGGAUAGAAGCUUCACUGAUCAUAUGCUUGUUGAGAGCUCAAAAGAUAAUGAGUUUGAGCUUUCGUUUUCGUAUGUGAAGCAUCUUAAUCCGAUUACGAGUCAGUUUGUUGUGAUUGGUAGCUGCAAUGGUUUGUUUUGUGUUGACCUGAGAGCCCCUGAUGAGAGAUGUGCAUCUUAUAUUUUGUUGUGGAAUCCUGUUACGAAACAAAAUAGGUAUCUUCCCAAACCCCAGAUCGAUGCUUUGGGCAAAGGGGUCAACAUUGUUCAAGCUUUUGGUUUCGAACCUGAAACUAAUGAUUACAAGGUUGUAAGGAUUGUAUAUUACCAUAGUGCUGAAAAUUCUGGUGCCAUGUCAGAUGAAGAUGACAUGUUCGUGAUGCAAAUGGAGGUGUUUAAAAUGAGUGAGGAUUGUUGGACCACUUUUCAAGCAAGUACCUUGCUCUGUUCUGCGGACAGCAAUAUGUCACUGGAGGAAGAGCCCGUGUUGCCACUUGAAAUUCGGAAAUCUUCUCCUGUGUUUUUGAAAGGAGCAUUUCAUUGGCUUGCUAUAGAUCCGAGAAAUCACGAAGACAGUCAAAGUGCUAUAGUGUCAUUUGACCUUAAAGAUGAGCAGUUAAGACUAAUAACUGUGUUGGAUUCUUGCAGACAAGGGGGUAAACUUGUUCUGAUAAAUGAUUUGCUUUCCCAUAUUGUUUCUCAUCAACCAAGGGAUGGGGUGGCAUAUGAUAUAUGGGUAAUGAAUAGCUAUGGGGUCAAGGAUUCCUGGACUAAGCAGUUUUCUGUUAAAGAGUCUCUUGGAACUCUAUGGCCAUUGGGAUAUUGGAGAAGUGAUCUUUUGCUAAUGAUUGAGAUUCUACGUGGGAAGAGGAAUGUGUUUUCUUAUAAUCUUAGCACUGGGGCAAGAAAGAACCUGCCAUAUCUCGAAAAUUUUAGUUUUCUUGGCUUUUGUACAUAUGUUGAAACUCUGGUUCCUCUGAGCUAGAGAUGCUGACAUGCUCUCAGCCUGGAAACACUUAACAGAGGAUCGAUGAGUGACAGUAAAUAUGCCAAUGAUGUUGGACAACUAGGAUAUCAAAGUAAAUUGUGGAUCAUUCUUUCCAUGGUACGACUCUUCGGUUAGAUAAACUGGUAAAGUUCAAGCUUAAGACUUUCAAUUUGGACAAAUAUCUAUUAGAAGUUCUCUUUCAAUCCCUUACCUACCAUCAGACUCUGAGUUGUUUCAUUGUUGAUUAAAAAUCCGUUCCAUAUCUAUACACUAUGUUAGCAAUAUGAUUUUCUUAUCUUAAACAACUUUGUACAUUUUCAUGCCACUUAGUUGUACAGGUCAUAUCAUGACAAGGAGCAGUAUAACAGUGACCGGACAAUGGUAAACACUUGUUUUGGAGCUGCUAGGUUAGUCAAAAUUAAAAUCUUGAAUGAUUGCAAGUUCUUGCAAAUUUGGAGCCCAGCCAUCAUAUGAUACCCAUCACUCCGCUAAUAUAUAAUUAUGUAUUAGUACAAUAUCGUAGCUUGGAAUU